GACGUAGGAUGCGAGCGUUGUCCGGAAUUAUUGGGCGUAAAGAGUUCGUAGGCGGUAUAACAAGUCUGGUGUUAAAGACCGAAGCUCAACUUCGGAGCGGCACUGGAAACUGUUAAACUUGAGUGCAGUAGAGGCAAGGGGAAUUCCUAGUGUAGCGGUGAAAUGCGUAGAUAUUAGGAGGAACACCGGUGGCGUAAGCGCCUUGCUGGGCUGUUACUGACGCUGAGGAACGAAAGCCAGGGGAGCGAAUGGG
rnacentral:rRNA from 1 species